GUGUUUUUUUUUUUAUAGCAACACAUGUACUAAAAUUGGAAUGAUACCGAGAAGGAUUGGCAUGGCCCCUCUCAAGUCGAGUGCAUUUGUGAAACAGUUUUUAUAUUU